CCUACGGGAGGCAGCAGUAGGGAAUAUUGGGCAAUGGGCGGAAGCCUGACCCAGCCAUGCCGCGUGCAGGAAGAAGGCGUUAUGCGUUGUAAACUGCUUUUUUAUAGGAAGAAGGAUCCCUUGCGAGGGAAGGUGACGGUACUAUAAGAAUAAGCACCGGCUAACUCCGUGCCAGCAGCCGCGGUAAUACGGAGGGUGCAAGCGUUGUCCGGAUUUAUUGGGUUUAAAGGGUGCGUAGGCGGUUUAUUAAGUCAGUGGUGAAAGACGGUCGCUCAACGAUUGCAGUGCCAUUGAUACUGGUAGACUUGAGUGAGAUUGAGGUAGCUGGAAUGGAUAGUGUAGCGGUGAAAUGCAUAGAUAUUAUCCAGAACACCGAUUGCGAAGGCAGGUUACUAAGUCUUAACUGACGCUGAGGCACGAAAGUGUGGGGAUCAAACAGGAUUAGAUACCCUGGUAGUCCACACUGUAAACGAUGAUGACUAACUGUUGGCUUUCGGGUCAGUGGUACAGAGAAAUCGUUAAGUCAUCCACCGUACGGGUAGGUACGGCCGGACCGAACGGUACGAACGUACGAAAGAAGUAGUACGGCGUGAGACGUACGACGACGGACGACGACGAGGGAGGAGG
rnacentral:rRNA from 1 species